UACGUAGGUGGCAAGCGUUGUCCGGAUUUACUGGGCGUAAAGCGUAUGCAGGCGGAUUGUUAAGUAGGAAGUGAAAGGUUGGAGCUCAACUCUAACACUGCUCCCUAUACUGGCAGUCUUGAGUGGCGGAGAGGAAGAUGGAACGACACGUGUAGCGGUGAAAUGCGUUGAUAUGUGUCGGAACACCAAUGGCGAAAGCAAUCUUCUGGACGCAAACUGACGCUGAGAUACGAAAGCCAAGGUAGCAAACAGG
rnacentral:rRNA from 1 species